GCGGGGUGGAGCAGCCUGGUAGCUCGUCGGGCUCAUAACCCGAAGGUCGCGGGUUCAAAUCCCGCCCCCGCAACCAG
rnacentral:tRNA from 2 species